rnacentral:lncRNA from 1 species
CAUCGGAGCGGGUGAAGCGCUUCCCGCAGAGCAUCCAUCCGCAGAUGAAGGGCCGCUCCCCCGUGUGCCACCGCAGGUGGGCCCGCAGGUGGGAGGUCUUGCCGUACACCUUCCCGCAGCCCGGGAUGUGGCAGAUGUGCUGCUUUUUUUUACCUGGAUCCCCAGAGCUCCUCCCCUCGCUGUCCUUGCAGUAGGGACAGGUGCAGGCUUCCCUCCGCACCUUCCGCCCCUGCUGGGGCUGUGGGUCUGGGCUGGUCUCCCCUUCCUCCACCGCCGCGCUGUCGUCGCCCAGACCGUCCCCGCUGGCUCCGUGCAGCCCCAGCUGGGUGCCAUGCUCCCCGGUAGCGUUGGCGAUGGCCAGCGGCAGCCCUUGCAGCUGGUGCACUUGGAUCCCAGACGCUCCCAAGGCACUGAGGUUAAUAGUCUGGAGGCCUGGCAUAGAGGAGAGCUGGGCGGCGUUGACCGUCACCGUGCCGCUGGGGAGGGAGGCGAUGGGGGUGAGCGUGGUGCUGGUGCUGCCCGUCUGCCCCAGCGACACUCCCUGCAUGGGGGCCAAGGUGAUUGUCUGCGCCUGGGGGUUCUGCACCUGCAGGUUCUGGAGCUGGAUGGUCUGCCAGCUCACCUGCCCGUUCGGCCCCACCGUGGGCGUUCGGAUGAUGAUGGGCCCGGAGUUGGGCACGGCCUGGAGCUGGAGGUUCUGCAAGGCGUCCUGUGAGAUGGCUUGAGUGGCGAAGGUCUGGCCGGACAGCGGGGCGGUCUGCAGGGCUUGGAUCGUUUGCCCCCCCUGGACUAACUGAGGUUGGAUCAGGAUCUGCUGCUGCUGCUGCUGCGACUGCUGGCUCUGAUCCCCCUCUUUCUGCUGCCCCGGCUGCAGAGCCACCCCAGAGACCUGGCUCUGCAGGGAGUCCGUGCUGGGGGCCCUCUGGGGCGUCUGCACUUGGACGUUUGUCCCCACUGUGGAACUGCUGGAAAAAUUCAUGAUGCCCAUGUUACUGGUGGUGGUGGUGGUGGAAUAGCUGUUGGCGUUGGUAAAAAAAGAGCCGGAA